rnacentral:rRNA from 1 species
GACGAACGCUGGCGGCGUGCUUAACACAUGCAAGUCGAACGGAAAGGCCCUGCUUUUGUGGGGUGCUCGAGUGGCGAACGGGUGAGUAACACGUGAGUAACCUGCCCUUGACUUUGGGAUAACUUCAGGAAACUGGGGCUAAUACCGGAUAUGAGCUCCUGCUGCAUGGUGGGGGUUGGAAAGUUUCGGCGGUUGGGGAUGGACUCGCGGCUUAUCAGCUUGUUGGUGGGGUAGUGGCUUACCAAGGCUUUGACGGGUAGCCGGCCUGAGAGGGUGACCGGCGACAUUGGGACUGAGAUACGGCCCAGAAGCCUACGGGAGGCAGCAGGGGGGAAUAUUGCACAAUGGGCGGAAGCCUGAUGCAGCAACGCCGCGUGCGGGAUGACGGCCUUCGGGUUGUAAACCGCUGUCGCCUGUGACGAAGCGUGAGUGACGGUAAUGGGUAAAGAAGCACCGGCUAACUACGUG